AUUGAACGCUGCGGCAGGCUUAACACAUGCAAGUCGAGCGAGCGGCGGACGGGUGAGUAAUGCUUAGGAAUCUGCCUAUUAGUGGGGGACAACAUCUCGAAAGGGAUGCUAAUACCGCAUACUAAUAGAUUAGCCUAAGUCGGAUUAGCUAGUUGGGGGGGUAAAGGCCUACCAAGGCGACGAACUGUAGCGGGUCUGAGAGGAUGAUCCGCCACACUGGGCCUGAGGCACGGCCCAGAAUCCGUCGGGAGGCAGCAGUGGGGAAUAUUGGACAAUGGGGGGAACCCUGGUCCAGCCAUGCCGCGUGUGUGAAGAAGGCCUUAUGGUUGUAAAGCACUUUAAGCGAGGAGGCGGUACUCGCAGAAUAAGCACCGGCUAACUCCGUGCCAGCAGCCGCGGUAAUAC
rnacentral:rRNA from 1 species